rnacentral:precursor_RNA from 10 species
CUUAGAUGCUGGUUUUCCGGUACAUAUGGCAGUACCAUUCAAAGAGCUAUGACAAUGAGACUGUUUAUAGCUCUGGAAAUGGCGCUGCCAUCUGCACCACGGUGCAGCGGCUCAUCCC